UACGAAGGGGGCUAGCGUUGCUCGGAAUCACUGGGCGUAAAGGGCGCGUAGGCGGCCAUUCAAGUCGGAGGUGAAAGCCCAGGGCUCAACCCUGGAAUUGCCUUCGAUACUGUUUGGCUAGAGACCGGAAGAGGUAAGUGGAACUGCGAGUGUAGAGGUGAAAUUCGUAGAUAUUCGCAAGAACACCAGCGGCGAAGGCGGCUCACUGGACCGAUUCUGACGCUGAGGCGCGAAAGCGUGGGGAGCAAACAGG
rnacentral:rRNA from 1 species